rnacentral:rRNA from 1 species
GACGAACGCUGGCGGCGUGCUUAACACAUGCAAGUCGAACGGAAAGGCCCUGCUUUUGUGGGGUGCUCGAGUGGCGAACGGGUGAGUAACACGUGAGUAACCUGCCCUUGACUUUGGGAUAACUUCAGGAAACUGGGGCUAAUACCGGAUAGGAGCUCCUGCUGCAUGGUGGGGGUUGGAAAGUUUCGGCGGUUGGGGAUGGACUCGCGGCUUAUCAGCUUGUUGGUGGGGUAGUGGCUUACCAAGGCUUUGACGGGUAGCCGGCCUGAGAGGGUGACCGGCCACAUUGGGACUGAGAUACGGUCCAGACUCCUACGGGAGGCAGCAGUGGGGAAUAUUGCACAAUGGGCGGAAGCCUGAUGCAGCAACGCCGCGUGCGGGAUGACGGCCUUCGGGUUGUAAACCGCUUUCGCCUGCGACGAAGCGUGAGUGACGGUAAUGGGUAAAGAAGCACCGGCUAACUACGUG